rnacentral:rRNA from 1 species
AUGUAUAAUAUUCUUCAAAGCUUUUGCGAUCUCUCUGGUCAAACUCCCAAUUGGAGCAAAUCGGGUAUAAUUUUCAGCCAAAAUGUCAGCAACACCACUAAAGAGGACAUUAAGAGGAUUUUUCCUGUAAUAGAUAUAAAUGAAAACUCAGUGCACUUAGGACACCCCUUAAUCCUCCCUGCUAAAGACAGAUCUGCUGCUUAUGAUUUUGUAGCCGAUAAAUUUCGUACUAAACUUACAGGCUAUAAAGCAAACAAACUUUCCCAUGUAGCAAUACUUACUCUCAUUACUUCUGUCUUCGCAUCAAUUCCUGUAUAUUAUAUGUCUAAUAUCCUUUUUUCAAGGAAAUUGGUUGCAAAACUGACAGCCAUUAUAAGGAAUUUUUGGUGGACAGGAAUAAAAGAAGAGCCAACAACAAAAACUAUUUGCCUCAGGGCUUGGAAGGACAUUUGUAUUCCAAAGUGUGAAGGAGGUUUAGGUAUUCGAAAUAUCCAAGCAAUGAAUAGAGGACUCAUUCUCUCAGCAGCUUGGAGAAUAGCAGAAAAUCCAGACAGCUUCUUGUCUAAAGUCCUAAAAUCCAAAUACCACCCAGACACUUCUAUAUGGAGGGCGAACUCCAGCAUCCCAAAAUCUGCCUUUUGGUCUUCUAUCUUAAAAGUUUGA